rnacentral:rRNA from 1 species
UACGGAGGGUGCAAACGUUGCUCGGAAUCAUUGGGCGUAAAGCGCACGUAGGCGGUCUGAUAAGUCGGAUGUGAAAUCCCUCGGCUCAACCGAGGAAGUGCAUUCGAAACUGCCAGACUUGAAUAUGGAAGAGGGUCGCGGAAUUCCCGGUGUAGAGGUGAAAUUCGUAGAUAUCGGGAGGAACACCAGUGGCGAAGGCGGCGACCUGGGCCAAUAUUGACGCUGAGGUGCGAAAGCGUGGGGAGCAAACAGG